CUCGUAGGCGGCGUGUCGCGUCGACUGUGAAAACCCGCAGCUCAACUGCGGGCCUGCAGCCGAUACGGGCAGGCUAGAGUUCGGUAGGGGAGACUGGAAUUCCUGGUGUAGCGGUGAAAUGCGCAGAUAUCAGGAGGAACACCGGUGGCGAAGGCGGGUCUCUGGGCCGAUACUGACGCUGAGGAGCGAAAGCGUGGGGAGCGAACA
rnacentral:rRNA from 1 species